GCAGACUAUUAUUUCACCUGAUGAAACACUUAACGCAAAAACCAAAAAUUAAAAAAAAAAAAAAAAAAGAAAGACAUGUAUUCAGGCGAAUUCGACGGAGCAGCCGCCGCCUUCGGCGGAGGAUUCAUGCCGUCUCAGGCCACCGCUGUCCCCGAUCACUCCUCUCUUUCCAAAAAUAGAAAUCUCCAGACCUUGCUUCCUUUGAAGGUGAAGCAGCAAAUGAAAUAUCAAGUAGCGCUGAAUUUACUGCUACAAUUGAUGGGGUUGCUGUAAUCACUGCAAGGAAUGUAUGUUCGUGUUAAUGGACACUUGAGAUCCUUUCAGAUAGAAAGACCUUAAAUGCCUAUUCCGUGAGGUGAAUAUGUCAAGUUCUCUCAGUAUCAGGAAUCAUUAUAGUCUUCAUCGACUCUUAUCACUGCCAUUACUAAGUUAGAAUCUUAUGACGAGACAGAUUAUUGGUAGAAGACAUGAAUUUGGGGGUCUUUACGUCCUUAACAUGCAAGUGCCAAGAUCCAUUGUUUGUUCCAGUGCCUUAACUCCAUUCGAAGCUCAUUGUUGGCCUGUGAUUGACUUCAAUGAGAUUACAAGCCACUUCUUCAAGCGUAUAUAUGUUCAUAUCUAUAACACAAAUCUACGGGUAUUGAUCUAAGUGGUUCUCUGAUAUUGUAUAUGACUGUGACUUGUAUUGAGGUGAAUUCAUUUAUUCAUACAGAAUUCAGACUGGGCUGACCUUUAAUGGCAAAUUCUACUGUUAUUAAUACUGCUCUAAGGGGAUAUCAAGCUGUUCCCUCUAAUUAAGUAAAGGAUUUCAAAAUUGAAAAAUGAUUUUGCUAAGUUUGAUUAGUCCAUUGUGUAGUCCACAUAAGCUUUAUCAUUUUCUCAGUUCUCUGGCCAGUAUAGCUUCGAUGCAGGCAAGAGCAUUGAUCGGAUUGUCUUGAAUUUUUUGUGGAGACUUGAUUGCCUCAAGAUUACCAAUGGUGUAGACCGCAACGAUAUUGUGAAACAACUUUAUCUCCCAAUGUAUAAGCUCAUGUGUGUCUCUGUCGCCUUCAUCUUUCUCUGAGUUGCACAUGCUCCAUGAAACAUCAGAAAUAAAGAUCUGUUCUUUUUUGAACUCUGACAGGGAAGUUUUAGAAUAUCUUAACGAAAAUAGUUUAGUUUACACAGUGGAUGAGGUUCACUGCAAGUCAGCUGUUAAUGCGUGAUGCCUACAUGUGCAAAUAAUGCUUCAAUUAAGCCAUGCUGCAAUGCAUACAUUCUUGCUCACUAA